AGUGGCGGACGGGUGAGUAACGCGUGAGAAUCUGCCUUCAGGAGGGGGACAACAGUUGGAAACGGCUGCUAAUACCCCGUAAGUCUACGGAUAAAACGGUUUCCGCCUGAAGAUGAGCUCGCGUCGGAUUAGCUAGUUGGUGGGGUAAAGGCUUACCAAGGCGACGAUCCGUAGCUGGUCUGAGAGGAUGAUCAGCCACACUGGGACUGAGACACGGCCCAGACUCCUACGGGAGGCAGCAGUGGGGAAUUUUCCGCAAUGGGCGAAAGCCUGACGGAGCAACGCCGCGUGCGGGAGGACGGCCUGUGGGUUGUAAACCGCUUUUCUCAGGGAAGAAGAUCUGACGGUACCUGAGGAAUCAGCAUCGGCUAACUCCGUGCCAGCAGCCGCGGUAAUACGGAGGAUGCAAGCGUUAUCCGGAUUUAUUGGGCGUAAAGCGUCCGCAGGCGGCUAAUCAAGUCUGCUGUUAAAGGCCGAGGCUUAACUUCGGUUGAGCAGUGGAAACUGAUUAGCUAGAGUGCGAUAGGGGUAGAGGGAAUUCCCAGUGUAGCGGUGAAAAUCGUAGAUAUUGGGAAGAACACCAGUGGCGAAGGCGCUCUACUGGGUCGCAACUGACGCUGAGGGACGAAAGCUAGGGGAGCGAAAGGGAUUAGAUACCCC
rnacentral:rRNA from 1 species